rnacentral:rRNA from 1 species
CCCGCCUGCCCAGUGACCAUAAAGUUCAACGGCCGCGGUAUUUUGACCGUGCAAAGGUAGCGUAAUCACUUGUCUUUUAAAUGAAGACCCGUAUGAAUGGCAUAACGAGGGCUUAACUGUCUCCUUUCCCAAGUCAAUGAAAUUGAUCUCCCCGUGCAGAAGCGGGGAUAAAUACAUAAGACGAGAAGACCCUAUGGAGCUUUAGACGCACAGGCAGAUCAUGUUAAACAUCCUUAAUUAAAAGCCCAAACUAAAUGAAGCCUGCCCCAUGUCUUUGGUUGGGGCGACCAUGGGGAAUACAAAACCCCCACGUGGAACAGGAGCACACCCCCAUUUCUUCCUCUCCUACAAGCCAGAGCAACAGCUCUAGCCAGCAAAACUUUUGACCAAACUGAUCCGGU